rnacentral:lncRNA from 1 species
CCCGCACCACCUUCUCAGACCAAGGUUAAUAAUAGAGCCUGUUUGAUUAUAAAUCAAACUAUAAAAGCUAAAUUAUACAAAUAGUUGUUUUCUUCUAUUUGUUUAAAAAGGUACCAUGUGCUUAUAUUUUUAUUUUGCUUUCUCACAUACACUUCUAUUUGGGACCACCAAUGUCUAUGCUUUCAUGUCCAACUUAUUACCUACAUGAGAACAAAGUUCUUCUCUUAUUUCUUCUUGACAUCAUCAAAAAUAUUGACUAGCUUCGCUAUAAUACCAUUAUUGCACUUGCUCUCACCUGUAAUUUGAUAACCUCGAUCUCGUGUACCAGUAGUGCGCCUACAAGCAUCUACAAGAGGAAUAAAGUGAGGGUAUGCAGGUAAUUUCAGUCAAUCACUAAUCUAGUUUCCAGUGCAUAGAAUUGCAUUAUUUCGUGGACAGAGGGAGAAAUUAAAAAAAAGUGGGACCGGUGAAACAUUAGCUCUAUUUCAGGUUCUGAACUUUUUUAGCUCCUUGCUAAAAUGUUACAAGAAACUAAAGUAGGUGAAGUUGAAAAAACGGGUUCACUUGAUUUGAGACCGGAACAGGAAAAGAGCUCUAUGAAUAAUGACUUGAAUUGUGGAUGUGAAGGAGUCAGAGCACCUUGAAGUCCAGCUAAACAGCAAAAAAAAAAAAGACUAGUUUCACAUGCUCUCAGUUUAUAUAUUUCAAAAAAGAGCAGCCCUUAAAAUUUAAAAUUAAUUAAUUACUUAAUUGACAUAGGAAAAAAACUUGCCGCACCCCCCUAAUCACGGUGACCUCGGAGACAGAAGCCUCAUGGCCUUCCUUCCUUUUCUGUGGAGAUUUUCCAAAAACUUGAUAUUAUGUAGUAAUUGCUAGUGAUAUGGAGUGUGCAAAUACUGACAAUCUAGUUGUGAUUCACACACAUUAGAAACAAUGAUUGCUCAUAUCAUACAACAUAUUACACGUUAACACGCCACCAAAAAAUAUAAAUGAUAGUACGCUGUAAACAAUAAUAUGUAACAUGCAUACGUUGUUAUCCACUCACAAUAAGUACCUGCUCACCUGUCACGC